GAUGAACGCUGGCGGCGUGCCUAACACAUGCAAGUCGAGCGGAGAUAUUUGGAGUACUUGUACAAAGGAUAUCUUAGCGGCGGACGGGUGAGUAACACGUGAGCAAUCUGCCUUUUACUGGGGAAUAACACUGGGAAACCAUUGCUAAUACCGCAUAAUGUCUUUUCCCGGCAUCGGGAGAAGACCAAAGGAGAAAUCCGGUAAAAGAUGAGCUCGCGUCCGAUUAGGUAGUUGGUGAGGUAACGGCCCACCAAGCCUACGAUCGGUAGCCGGACUGAGAGGUUGAACGGCCACAUUGGGACUGAGACACGGCCCAGACUCCUACGGGUGGCAG
rnacentral:rRNA from 1 species